rnacentral:rRNA from 1 species
UACGGAGGGUGCAAGCGUUAUCCGGAUUCACUGGGCGUAAAGCGUGCGCAGGCGGUUUUGUAAGUCUGUCGUGAAAGCCCCGGGCUCAACCUGGGAAUUGCGAUGGAGACUGCAAGGCUUGAAUCUGGCAGAGGGGGGUAGAAUUCCACGUGUAGCAGUGAAAUGCGUAGAGAUGUGGAGGAACACCGAUGGCGAAGGCAGCCCCCUGGGUCAAGAUUGACGCUCAUGCACGAAAGCGUGGGGAGCAAACAGG